rnacentral:rRNA from 2 species
CAACAGGGAUUGCCCUAGUAACGGCGAGUGAAGCGGCAACAGCUCAAAUUUGAAAUCUGGCUCUCGGGCCCGAGUUGUAAUUUGUAGAGGAUGACUUUGAUGCGGUGCCUUCCGAGUUCCCUGGAACGGGACGCCAUAGAGGGUGAGAGCCCCGUCUGGUUGGAUGCCAAAUCUCUGUAAGUCUCCUUCGACGAGUCGAGUAGUUUGGGAAUGCUGCUCUAAAUGGGAGGUAUAUGUCUUCUAAAGCUAAAUACCGGCCAGAGACCGAUAGCGCACAAGUAGAGUGAUCGAAAGAUGAAAAGCACUUUGAAAAGAGAGUUAAAAAGUACGUGAAAUUGUUGAAAGGGAAGCGUUUAUGACCAGACUUGGGCUUGGUUAAUCAUCUGGGGUUCUCCCCAGUGCACUUUUCCAGUCCAGGCCAGCAUCAGUUUUCGCCGGGGGACAAAGGCUUCGGGAAUGUGGCUCCCCUCGGGGAGUGUUAUAGCCCGUUGUGUAAUGCCCUGGCGGGGACUGAGGUUCGCGCUUCUGCAAGGAU